UACGUAGGGUGCGAGCGUUAAUCGGAAUUACUGGGCGUAAGCGUGCGCAGGCGGUUUUGUAAGCCAGAUGUGAAAUCCCCGGGCUCAACCUGGGAAUGGCAUUUGGGACUGCAAGGCUUUGAGUGUGGCAGAGGGGACUGGAAUUCCUGGUGGUAGCAGUGAAAUGCGUAGAGAUCAGGAGGAAUACCGAUGGCGAAGGCAGGUCCCUGGGCUGACACUGACGCUCAUGCACGAAAGCGUGGGGAGCAAACAGGA
rnacentral:rRNA from 1 species